rnacentral:tRNA from 1 species
GGGGCCGGGGUCGCGGCGGCGACCGCGGCGCUGGCGCUGCUGUUGGCCGGGUGCGCGGGUGCGAUGCCGGCCGCCACCAC